GUCCUGUGUGGCUCAAUUGGUGGAGCAUGGCACUUGAAAUGCCAGGGUUGUGGGUUCAAUUCCCACAAGGGACU